rnacentral:rRNA from 1 species
AUGGUGAAGAGCGAGUCAUCAGGCAAAAAGAAGAACGUGAGGGUCGGGUGGGUCAUGUAUGAGUACGGCAUCUCGGAGCAGCACGGAGGCGGCGACCUCGUGCUCUGCAAGAUCCUCCCGUCCGAUCGCACCGGGCAGGAGGCGCCGGCGGCGACGACGGAUGCGGUGUCAGCAAUCAGCUCCAAGAAGAGGAAGAGGAAGGAUAUUACGGCGGUCGACCAAGACCAACACCCACUGCCGGCGGAGAGCCUGGGUGCCGCUACCGCCAUGACAACAGAGGACGCCGACGUCUACCGUCGCCACGCUACCGGGGAAGGCGUAGAGGACUGCUACGGAGGUGACAACUUGUUGGGCAACAUGGUUGGGCCAGGCGGCGAUCUGGCCAUGGCGCCGGCAACUCAGCCGGAAGUGCAAGAUAUGUACGGCGGCGCUGCUCCGUCGCCUAACAACUUGUUGCACAACAUGGUGGUCGAGGAAGGCGUGGACGACUGGUACUCGGACGGGGUUGGAGGCACAGCAGCAGCUGCAGAGAUGGACGGCAACUUCUUGGACAACGACAUGGCUGGGCCAGGAGGUGAUCUGGCCAUGGCGCCAGCAGCUCAGCCGGAGGUGCAAGAGAAAGAGAUGGACGGAUCUACUCCGCUGCCUAGCAACUUGUUCCACACUGUGGAACAAGAAUUCCCUUUCCCUGGCUUAUAUCAAGUGGUCGCGCCUGAGGAGGAAGCCACCGGGCUCGCACAGAGCAUCACCGCAGACGGGGACGACGAACACCACCACCGGAUGGAGGAGCGAACGCAGCCAGAGCCAGAGGAGCCGGCCGCCGACGAGCCCAUCUACGGCGGCUUGCCUUGUCCAGCAUUUUCACCUGAGAUGAUCCGGAUCUGCAGCAUGAUGCCGUGGCCCCCGUCACCUACAUCCAUGGCCACCAUCUUGUCGGGCCUGUAA